GCCUGUUUAGCAUAGUCGUUAUUGCGCGGCACUUGUACCUACGAGCGAUGCCGAGGUCGCUGGUUCAAAUCCGGCAAUGGGCU
rnacentral:tRNA from 1 species